rnacentral:rRNA from 1 species
GAGGAAUAUUGCGCAAUGGGCGAAAGCCUGACGCAGCAACGCCGCGUGGGGGAAGAAUCUCUAUGGAGUGUAAACCCCUGUAAGCAGGGAAGAAAGGUAUAUUAGAUAUAUUUGACGGUACCUGCAGAGUAAGCUCCGGCUAACUCCGUGCCAGCAGCCGCGGUAAUACGGGGGGAGCUAGCGUUGUCCGGAAUUACUGGGCGUAAAGGGCGUGUAGGCGGUAUAUUAAGUCAGGUGUGAAAUAUUCCGGCUUAACCGGAAGGGGUCACUUGAGACUGAUAUACUUGAGUGCGAGAGAGGGUAGCAGAAUUUCCAGUGUAGCGGUGAAAUGUGUAGAUAUUGGGAAGAAUACCGGUAGCGAAGGCGGCUACCUGGUUCGCAACUGACGCUGAGGCGCGAAAGCGUGGGGAGCAAACAG